rnacentral:rRNA from 1 species
GAUGAACGCUAGCGGCAGGCUUAACACAUGCAAGUCGAGGGGUAUAGUUCUUCGGAGCUAGAGACCGGCGCACGGGUGCGUAACGCGUAUGCAAUCUACCUUUUACAGAGGGAUAGCCCAGAGAAAUUUGGAUUAAUACCUCAUAGUAUGUGAGAAUCGCAUGGUUUUCACAUUAAAGUUCCAACGGUAAAGAUGAGCAUGCGUCCCAUUAGCUAGAUGGUAAGGUAACGGCUUACCAUGGCGACGAUGGGUAGGGGUCCUGAGAGGGAGAUCCCCCACACUGGUACUGAGACACGGACCAGACUCCUACGGGAGGCAGCAGUGAGGAAUAUUGGACAAUGGGCGCAAGCCUGAUCCAGCCAUGCCGCGUGCAGGAUGACGGUCCUAUGGAUUGUAAACUGCUUUUGUACAGGAAGAACACUCCCUCGUGAGGGAGCUUGACGGUACUGUAAGAAUAA